rnacentral:lncRNA from 1 species
CAUGGAAAAAGACUAGUUAUAUGAAUUCGGUCUAUUAGUGUCACAAUUGAUUGUACUCUAGCUAUCUAAAAUCAAUUAUCAAACUACAAAAUACCAAGGCUUACUACUUCCGUCUUAAUUCAACACCUAAUCCAUUCUAUGACUAUCAAUUCAACAAUACUUCCAUAUUCUUAUCUGUUCAUCUCCCACUUAUUCUCUUUGUGGUUUAUAUAUAUUUAAUUAUUGAUCUUUAGCUUACCUAUUAUAUUCAGUUUCUCAAUUCAUCACACAGAAUUCAAUAUCUUUACUUAACACAACACAAUUCGAUAAUCUCAAUUCUCA